rnacentral:rRNA from 1 species
GACGAACGCUGGCGGCGUGCCUAAUACAUGCAAGUCGAACGCAGUGGGGACGGGUGAGUAACACCUGGGUAACCUCCCAUCAGAGGGGAUAACACUUGGAAACAGGUGCUAAACCGAUACUGAUGGAUGGACCCGCGGUGCAUUAGCUAGUUGGUGAGGUAACGGCUCACCAAGGCCACGAGGCAUAGCCAACCGUAUAGGGUGUUCGGCAACGCGUGAACUGAGAAAGUGCCCAGACUCCUACGGGUGGCAGCAGUAGGGGAUGUGCGGCAAUGGACGAAAGUCUGAACGAGAAACGCCGCGUGAGUGAAGAAGGUUUUGGGAUCGUAAAGCACUGUUGUUAGAAAAGCGGUAUAGAAACAGAAAGCCACGGGUAACUACGUGCCAGCAGCCGCGGUAAUUC